rnacentral:lncRNA from 1 species
AAAAAAUGGUCUGGAUUAAAUUCACCAUCAUUUGCACGCUCAUAUCUCUGCUGGAAGCCCAUAAGGAGUGCACAAGACACAUAAAAUGGGCGCAUCUCAUCCAGUCUUUAAAUUCAAUGGGCACUGCGAUAUCUCAUGAUUGUGCAUUUGAAUAUGAAGAAGCCAGUCUGUGUGAUCCACAUCACCUGGCCAAUAUGGUGGAUCAUAAUGCAAUCCUUCUGGUCGACAUUGUCAAGAAAACAGAAACAAUGUACAGGGAGAACCCAAACCCAAAGACGUUUAUCGAGGCCCUUCAUCACACCCGUUAUACUCUGAGAAACUGUGUUCAUAACUCUGACGCUGCUGAAAAUGAGCAUGUGACCACAUGCUUCAAUAAACUAGAAGCUUUUCUAAAGAAAAAGUCCCACUCACAGUGUGCAUGGGAAAUCAUUAAUUCAAAAGUGAGGGAGGUUCUUCAGAGGCUGAAACGCUCCGUCAUAAGGCGACGUUAGAGACUUUCUUAUGAAUGUCUUUAUUAUGCAUGCAUUAAUGGAUAUAUUUUAUUGCAAAUAAGGUAUGCUAUUUUAUAAGCUCGAUGGAUAUAUGUAUAUAUUUUAAGAAGUGCACAUUAUAUACAAAACGUGACAAAAAAAUCAUGAUUUAUUGAGUCGUGAACAGAUUAUUGCUGUGUGAGAUAAUCUUGAUCGAGAUGUAGUAGUAAAAAUAUACAUAGUUUUUCUAAUAAAGUUGUUAUGAAAUGCAAAUACUGCAAUGCACGAAAUGUGAGAUUAUUGUGAAUUAUGUGGAUUUUUGAUUAUUUAUAUGUUUUACUGUUUAAAUGUGACUUUUCUUUGGUACUGUGUCUUAUGCAUUUGUACUAAUGCUACCUAAUGUUACAAUGUUACUACCUAUUGUUAAUGUUCUUGAACAAACAUAAUAAAGAAAACUAUACAAUCACCAUUCUGUGUUUUAUUUAAGUAAAU